rnacentral:rRNA from 1 species
GACGAACGCUGGCGGCGUGCUUAACACAUGCAAGUCGAACGGAAAGGCCCUGCUUUUGUGGGGUGCUCGAGUGGCGAACGGGUGAGUAACACGUGAGUAACCUGCCCUUGACUUUGGGAUAACUUCAGGAAACUGGGGCUAAUACCGGAUAGGAGCUCCUGCUGCAUGGUGGGGGUUGGAAAGUUUCGGCGGUUGGGGAUGGGCUCGCGGCUUAUCAGCUUGUUGGUGGGGUAGUGGCUUACCAAGGCUUUGACGGGUAGCCGGCCUGAGAGGGUGACCGGCCACAUUGGGACUGAGAUACGGCCCAGACUCCUACGGGAGGCAGCGGUGGGGAAUAUUGCACAGUGGGCGGAAGCCUGAUGCAGCAACGCCGCGUGCGGGAUGACGGCCUUCGGGUUGUAAACCGCUUUCGCCUGUGACGAAGCGUGAGUGACGGUAAUGGGUAAAGAAGCACCGGCUAACUACGUG